GUGACCUACGGGGCGCAGCAGUGGGGGAUAUUGCACAAUGGGGGAAACCCUGAUGCAGCGACGCCGCGUGGGUGAAGAAGCGCCUCGGCGCGUAAAGCCCUGUCAGCAGGGAAGAAAAUGACGGUACCUGAAGAAGAAGCCCCGGCUAACUACAUGCCAGCAGCCGCGGUAAUACGUAGGGGGCAAGCGUUAUCCGGAUUUACUGGGUGUAAAGGGGGCGCAGACGGCGAUGCAAGCCAGGAGUGAAAGCACGGGGCCCAACCCCGGGACUGCUCUUGGAACUGCGUGGCUAGAGUGCAGGCGGG
rnacentral:rRNA from 1 species